GGGGCUGACCGGUUUUGACAGCGUGUAGAGGUGGUGAGUAAGCAUGCAGAGUGAUGAUGCCUACACUCUAUAAUCAGAGACAUCAGCAAGUUUUAAAUGGCGAAAAUAACUACGCUCUUGCUGCCUGAUCGAAGUACAGUAGACAAGGCUUAAUCUCCGCAACAGUUGCAGAGACAAGACAUCGCCCGGGAGUCCUUUUUCCGAGACAACCCGAUUAGGCGGUGCAGAAAUAUCGGGAAUAGGGUGCCGGGAGCCUCGCGUGGCAUCCGAAAUCUUAGAGGCUAAGGAUAGCAUUGGUCGUCACCUGCCUGUGCCGUCACGAAAACCAAGUGGUGACUAAGCAUGUAGAAAGCUCAUUAGUUCCGCGUUUGGACGAGGGUUCAAGUCCCUCCAGCUCCACAA
rnacentral:tmRNA from 1 species